rnacentral:lncRNA from 1 species
UUUUGAUAACACCCGCUACUUGUUUUUAUUCCUUUCCCUCUCAAUUCCUAGCCUACACUCUCUAAAUCUCACACAACCACUCCUCCACAACCCUCUCCCCUAAUGAUCGAACAGCCGGCCACCGCUAGUGGUGGCGGCGCACGGCAAGUGAGAGAGAGAAAGAGAGCCGCAAGUGAGAGAGAGACGCGGAGAGAGAGUCGGGGAGAAAGAUUGGAAGGCGACGGUGGCUCCGGCAACGACGGUUUUUAGUGCGGUCUCGGGCCUCGAGUCUGGAUUUCCGGUGUUGGUUUCAGUUCGGGUUCGGGUCACGUUCAGUUCAGUAUUGCUUGGCGUCGUUCAUGGUUCCGGUUUUCGAUUCAAGAUUUGAUUCGGGUUCGGGUGCUACGGGUCAGACUCGAGCUUCGGUUCAGCAGGUUCGGGUCCGGUUCAGUCUACGUCGAGUCAACGGGACAGUCGGUUCGGAUUAGAGACGGUUAACUAGUCGGGCCAACCCGGUCAGAUGUCACCGAAGCCGUACGGAGAUCACCACGGGAACCCUCUCAUCAUCAUUCGGAUAAACCGUUCGUUCGCUCUUUUGGAUUUUUCUCCAUCUUUACUCGUGCGAUAAUUCAAGAAAUCUUCGUACGCAACCAAUGUGAGUAUACUCGAUCCCUUUUUGUUUUAAACACUUUUGGGAUGCAACAUGUAUUCUAUAUCAAAAACACUUGACACUUGACACUUGAAACUUAUUUGAAACAUACUCUAUCCAUUCAAACAUGAAACAUGAAACUUGUGAUACUUGAGACUUUUAUGCUAUGUGAACGUUUAAUCCCUGUGUGUAGUUCCGCCUUAACAAUGGUAGCGCUAUAGGGGUAAUGCACCUCCCCGUUAGUCUUUGGGGUAUUGUUAGGAUGAGACAUAUAACCUCCCGUUAAACUUUGGGAAAGGCACUUAACGCAUUGGAAACUUGGGCUAUCACUUGGACUGCGUUAGCUAGCAUGGUGAAACUUGUUAUAUGUUUUCGUGUUGGAUAUGAGUUUUUAUCCUAUUAUGCUGUGUAACCAAACUUGUAUACUCGCCUUUGCUUUUGCAUUGAAUUUUAUUUUAAUACAUGUUGCAGGUUAAUUAUUGAGAUGAUAUUCAAGACGAAACAAGAUUUAGGGUGGACUAGACACACACCUAGACUAAUCUAUCUUUUGUUGUUAUGUUACAAUUUGAAACAAUGUUGUUAUUUCUUUUUGAAUCUUGUAUGACAUCUAGUAUUGCAAUGAAAUUUGAAUUUAAUUAAAUAUUGUCACAUAGUGUUAUGACGUCUCUUGCAAUCUAUACACACUUCGUCUCAUCCCGAUGUUUCCGCCAUCGGUUGGGGUGUGACAGAUUGGUACCAGAGCCAUAACUAUAGGGAAUUAGGAAAAGUAGGAAUGCUUUAACCUAGUCUAUAGUUUUAGAGCUUUAUUUUUGUGUUUUGCUUGAAACUACAUUGCAUGCUACUUUAUUUGUCUUUAUUCAUUCUCUUUUGAUCUUUUAAGCAUACAUGUCACUUAUUUGUUAACACUUGACAUGCUACACUUGUCUUAUUACGUGCUAAUACUUGUUUCCUCAUUCUACCCUUUAUGUGUCAUUCUUAACAUAUUUUUAUGUGUUAAUAAUUGUUUCAUUAUUCCAUUCCUUAUUUGCUAUUCUUGACAUGUUUAUACUUGUUCGUCUAAUCUUUAACAUGUCACACCCCGAAAUUAUCAGAGCAUUGGCGUGACUGGACUGGUAUCUUCAUUGCACAGCGGAAGCAAAAUAAUUUAAGUCUUUUAGAAAUUGAACGCCCACUAAGUACUCGACUCUUCAUGGUCCUCCUAUUCCAACCGUGCCUUGUCUUAGAAAUGCAACCUGAGAAAGAGCAUGCGAAAAAGUCAACAUAAAGUUGAGCGAGUUCAUAGUUUGUUUGUAAAAGAUCUGAAAUAAAUCUUUUGAGUUGUGAAAGGUUUGAAAUAAAUCUUUGGUAACCGGUUUUUGAAAUAGUAUUGAGAAAAUGAAUUUAAAAAUCAUUUUCUUGCCAAGUUAUAUGGAAACGUUGUGUUUGUAACACGUUAUGUUCAUAAAACCAUGUAUU